UUGACCACGGACAUUUUUUGCUACAAAAUGUUACCAAAUGGGGCUGCCAGAUCACAAUCUUUAUGUUCCUAAGUUCAUCCUCACAAGGUCACACAACAAUGGACCACCCUUAUGUUCUCCAGUGUUGCCACAAUCCAUUUUUAAAUGCAGUGAAAGCAAUGAAAUUCACACUCUCUCUCCUUAGGAGAUCUCCCACAAGACUAAUACAUCAUCAGAAUGCUUUUUUUGAUUGCUGUGGAGAUGUAUUUUUGUAUUUGGGUAUUGUAUUUGAAGAUUCUGAUUGGGAAUGCAUAUCUGAAACCGAUGACAAAUGUGGUUUGCUUUGCUUGGCACUGUUUCUGACUCUGCUUUUCCAGCUUCUCUCCAAAACCUUAAUCCUACAGUAUAUGUGUUUUUCAGUUAUGUUCAGAAUGCAAAGCAUUGGUGAUAGUGAGAAAGAACCAGCUGACUAAAUGGUUUUUUCCAUUGGACAAAAAUAUUGAAAACAUUUUAAGCUUUCUCAAGAUGAUUAUUUUCUUUUCCUCUCUUUCCUAAUUUUGUAUUUGAAAACAAACAAAAGAAAAAAGAUUACAUUAAUUUUGUGCAUGUUUCUGACAGCUUAAAAUCUUUGGAAAUUUAGAUAGAAUCAACAAGUGUUACUGAAACACUUCUGGUUCUAGAUGUCCUGCAUACAGCACUAGGAAGAUGUAAGUGUUACUUUACCUUUUAAAAGGAAAUUUUCUUGUAGACUUACAUUUCCAGCAGGCCUGUUCAGAAGGGUAUAGGGUAGUACUGCAGUUGCCCAGCCAACAAAGUUCAAACACAACUACGAAAUGCACAUGGUAUUAAGGUAUGGGCAAACCACAGAUUUACAGAGCAGCAUAGCAAUGUUAUCUGUUUUGGUCCACAUUCUUUCCUAGCAGCUCUUAAUACUUGGUUUGUGUUUUUGGCUGCUGCCAAGCACUGAGCUGACAGUUUCAUGAAACUACCUAUCAUUGCACGCAGGCCUCACUGUAAUUCUUCACUGUUUUUCUUACUGCCUGGAGAAACUUUGUACUGCCAAGAAUACUUUCUUGCUCACAUCCCGUUUUCCAGGUCACUUAUGAACAUGUGGAAAAGCAUGGGUCGCAGAGCACAGCUGUUGGUGGGUGACCUCCUUCCUGCAGGAACUGACUGUUACCCCAGGUCUUCUGGGUGUUUUUUUUAUGAACUCUGCAUACCUGUCAAGGAUAUCCCUGCUGUACCAUGGAUGCUUAGUGUCCUUAGAGGCCUCAGGUGAAGGGAUCUGUCAAAAGCUGUAAGAAAUCCAAGUAGACUAUAUCAUGUAAAUGACCCUUAUGCAAAUGUUUGUUCAUCCCUUCAAAGACUUCUGAGAGGCUUGUAAGAAGGGACUUUACAGAAGCCAUGCUAAAACUUUUCAAUUAGAUUUUAUUUAUCCAGGUGCCCUCUGGCUCUGCACUUCAUUGUAGUCCUGCUUUUUGGUAUUGUUAGACUAACAGGCUUGUAGUUUCCUGCAGUCUUUAAGGAAAAAAAAAAAAAAAAAGUCUACCUUCAGUCCUCCAGUACUGAAGGUGUUUGGAAUGAGAGAUUACAUAUGCUGUUAAUAAUUCAGCUAUGCCAUUCUUUGGUUUGCUUGGUGAAUGCACUCUGCUUUGUUGAUUCAUUACUGUUCAUUGUGUGAACCUGUAUUGUAAUUUCUUCUGCAGCAACUUCAGUCUUGGAAAGGUGCUCUGUCUUCCAGAGGAAUUCAGGUACAGCUGAAUAAACCGAUAAAUGUGACUUGAGUCACACUGAAAGGGACUGGAACAAGCUCAGUCAGAUAGGAGGAGGCUUGAAGUGCAGGCAGUGGAGGUACCCUGGAGGAGGUCAGCCGUCACCUGGAAGGCAUGAAGAGAGCAAAGUGACUCAAGAUGCACUAUGCAGUGGUGCAGGAUGAGGAUUCAUUGCCACAGACAGGAAGUUUUACCUGCCAAGGUACCUGACCUGUGAGAUGUCAGCAGAAGAGAUCUCAGGAGCUGAUAUGCCAUGGUGGGAGUGGGAGGAUCCCUUCUGAAGGAUGCUACUGGGAGGGUUGCAGAAACUUUGAAAGGAUCUCUAGAGCAAGAAGACACAUUCCUUUUGGAAACAGCAAGUAAGAAAAACAGAUGAGCCUCAAGCUGCACAAGUGAAUUAAACAGCAGCUGCAGAGAACAGAAUGCCAAGGGCUUACACUGUGAGGUCCUACCUUACAUGUCCCAGUGCCCAGAUGCUUAGAUUCAUCUUAGUUCCCAGCACAUAUUUUUGCAUAGGAGUGAACAAACAAGCCACUUGAAGGAAACUUAAGGGCAUCUUUGUAAUUAUUUUCCUGUGCAUGUGAAGCAAGUACAAAUAAAGACAGUUGUUUUGUUUUUUUAACUCAACUAUGAAGAAGAAAUUUGCUAUAAGAAUCAUGUUGUAGCUUUUAUAUUUAGCCCUAAUUGUGGCCCCAUACAUAGAAAAAUCAUGAAACCACAGCACAUCUUCCAAGUAAUAUAAAUCAUGAAAUACAGGCUCCUGCUUGGUGCACUUUGAAGAUUUUCUAUUUUGUGUACGUAUCUUCCACUUUCUGCUGAAAACAGCAAAAUAAAUGUCUAUAAGUCAGAUAAAUCCUUAAAGUGAAGUUCAGGCUUCUAUAUUUUAUUUAGAUAUCACCAUUUGGGGUUGCAUUUGUUUGCAUCUGUGGAAUAAUUUAUAGCAACAGUCCAUCUUUAACACAAUCCUGCCUAGUAGCAUUGUGGUCAUGGUUAAUGAUUUCAGUGCUCUGUGGAAAAGUUUUGGGGUAGUGGUGUUUGAAGCUUUCAGAGAAACCUGCCCAAAUUACUUAGGAUCCUGACACACAGAGAAUUUUACACAGACUUGUUAAAAGGCAGAUCAUUCAAAAGCAUGGAAGAGAUGUAGGGAGCUAAGUGUAGUCACACUGAUGAUGUCCUUGUUUGUGUAAUGCUGCCCUUGAGAUCUGAAAGCUUUUCUGACUUCAUGAAACUGACAUUGUAUUUUUGGAUGUGUUGAAAUAAAAGCUCCCUGAAGUAAAGAUAAAUCUAAAAAUGUUACAAAUAGUCUUAGCAUAGCCCAGACUUGUAUCAUACUCAAACAGAGGACCUAAGUCUUUGCAUAAAGGUGAACAUAUUUCAUUAAUAUAGACCCCUGACUCCUUCUGAUUGCAGCAACAGUGACCAAACUACAGACCUAUGGGAUUAAUUUUUUUUCUUCCUAGAAGUUUAAAAAUGCAUGGAGAGUUUGUGUCAAGGUCCCCUGACUGAUUUGUUAAUGUUUUUUCACUCUAAAAAUAU